rnacentral:siRNA from 1 species
CUCCAGCGCCACCACCACCACC